GGCUGGUCCGAAGGUAGUGAGUUGCCUCAAUUGAUUGUUCACAGUCAGUUACAGAUUGAACUCCUGUUCUACUCUUUCCCCCCUUCUCACUACUGCACUUGACUAGUCGUAA
ensembl:Y_RNA Y_RNA Y RNA